AUUGAACGCUGGCGGCAGGCCUAACACAUGCAAGUCGAACGAGUGGCGGACGGGUGAGUAAUGUCUGGGAAACUGCCUGAUGGAGGGGGAUAACUACUGGAAACGGUAGCUAAUACCGCAUACCAUCAGAUGAACCCAUAUGGGAUUAGCUAGUUGGUGGGGUAACGGCUCACCAGGGCGACGAUCCCUAGCUGGUCUGAGAGGAUGACCAGCCAAACGGGAAAGGGGAACCGGGCCAGCCUCCCACGGGAGGCAGCAGGGGGGAAGAUUGGAAAAUGGGCGGAAGCCUGAUGGAGCCAUGCCGGGGGGAUGAAGGAGGCCUUCGGGUUGGAAAGUCCUUUCAGCGGGGAGGCGGUACCCGAAGAAAAAGCAACGGCUAACUCCGUGCCAGCAGCCGCGGUAAUAC
rnacentral:rRNA from 1 species